GUCGCGAAGAGGUGACUCUUUCGACUCCAUACGUUAUAGAUUUUAACCAUCGACAGACGUCCCGUUCGCAAUUACUCAAGUAACUCUAUUAUAUACUCACUUAUGCGGUUACCUUGGCGUAAUGCUUCGUGAGUCGGAGAAACAGCUGAAUCAUGAGAAGAAGACGCUCACCGCCCCUGCCGAAGACGAUGCAACAGAAUACUUAAACAGCACUGUGAAAGUUGUCCCAGGGUCACUCAAGAUGAAAAUCAAUGGAUGAUGGAUUAAUGGGGAACAAAUAUCUGGUUUGGGAAGCAUUGAGUUUCGUACGCAGGUGAUGGAAGCGUGUCCUCUU